rnacentral:rRNA from 1 species
CUCCAACCUAUCAUCGACAAGAUUGCGGGUAGACUGUCGGGUUGGAACGGAAAGCUACUAAAUAAGCCCGGCAAGGUCGCUCUAGCUCAAUCAGUUCUAACGGCUAUGGCGACUUUCCACAUCUCCGCUCUCAGCCUGCCGAAAUGGAUCCUGGGAAAGGUUGAGAAGAUCAUUCGCAGGUUUCUAUGGCAGAAAGAGGACGAAACGCAAACUUCUGGAGGGCACUCCCUCGUUAACUGGAAGACCGACUGUCGUCCAAGGAGGUUGGGCGGCCUGGGAAUCGCGGAAUAUGAGCGUUUUGGCCGCUCCCUCCGCCUUCGCUGGCCCUGGUUACAAUGGACGGACCCGGAUAUGCCAUGGGUGGGCUCUGACCUGCCAUGCGACCAGGCUGAUAUGAACCAUUUUCGCGCAAGCACAACCAUAACUUUGGGAGAUGGCCGCAAGGCACUUUUCUGGCAUGACAACUAGAGCGGAAGGGCCCCUCUAAUACUACUUGCUCCGGAGCUUUACAAAAUAGCUUCAAGGAAAUAUAGGACCGUGCAUCACGAGUUGACAAAUGAUAACUGGAUCAGAGCAGUCGCUAGCCUUCAAUCCCUGCAACAACUGGGGGAAUGUUUCACUCUAUCAGGAUAG